rnacentral:rRNA from 1 species
CGCAUCUGUGCAUGCAGCAUAUCAAUAAGCGGAGGAAAAGAAACUAACCAGGAUUCCCCUAGUAACGGCGAGUGAAGCGGGAAGAGCUCAAAUUUGAAAUCUUAAAGGGUUUCCCUUUACGAAUUGUAGUUUAAAGAAGUGUUUUCUGUUGAGGUUUUGGUAAAAGUUCUUUGGAAUAGGACAUCAUAGAGGGUGAGAAUCCCGUAUUUGACCUUUACUUUCAACUUUGUGAUACACUUUCAAAGAGUCGGAUUGUUUGGGAAUGCAGUCCAAAAUGGGUGGUAAAUUUCAUCUAAAGCUAAAUAUUGGCGAGAGACCGAUAGCGAACAAGUACCGUGAGGGAAAGAUGAAAAGAACUUUGAAAAGAGAGUUAAACAGUACGUGAAAUUGUCAAAAGGGAAGCGUUUGACACCAGUGUUGUUUUUCUGAAAAUCAAUUAAAGAACUGUUUAUGCUAAGCUGUUUAGACUUUAUCAGCUAUCUGUUUAGUUUUGAGCUUUUCUUUAAUGCACUUUUCAGUUAACAAGUCAACAUCAAUUUCUUUUGCUGUAAAAAAGCUUGAGGAAGGUGGCUUGAGAUUCGUCUUAAGUGUUUAUAGCCUCUUGCCUAUGCAGUCGGAGAGAUUGAGGUCUGCAGCGUAGAUCCUUCGGGGCUAAAUGCAUUUGUGCUAAGUUAUAAGCAUUUAUAGACAACUUGUUGACUAUGAUUUGUCUUGUAGCUUACUCGCUUAUGUUAUUUUACCUACGCUUAGGAUGUUGACAGCAGUAUAGACUGU